GUCCUAGCUGUAAACGGUGCACGUUUGCUGUAAAAGGAAUCGACCCCUUUUGUGGCGAAGCUAACGCGUUAAACGUGCCGCCUGGGGAGUACGGUCGCAAGAUUAAAACUCAAAGAAAUUGACGGGGGCCUGCACAAGCGGUGGAGUAUGUGGCUCAAUUCGAUGCAACGCGAAGAACCUUACCUGGCCUUGACAUGUAUCUAGUAGAAGGGUGAAAACCUGACGAGGUGGCAAUACCAGGGUACACAGGUGCUGCAUGGCUGUCGU
rnacentral:rRNA from 1 species